GACGAACGCUGGCGGCGUGCUUAACACAUGCAAGUCGAACGGAAAGGCCCUGCUUGCAGGGUGCUCGAGUGGCGAACGGGUGAGUAACACGUGGGUGAUCUGCCCCUUACUUUGGGAUAAGCCUGGUAAACUGGGUCUAAUACUGGAUAGGACCAUGCUGUAGGUGGUGUGGUGGAAAGAUUAGUUUCGGUAAGGGAUGAGCUCGCGGCCUAUCAGCUUGUUGGUGGGGUAAUGGCCUACCAAGGCGUCGACGGGUGGCCGGCCUGAGAGGGUGGACGGCCACAUUGGGACUGAGAUACGGCGCAGACUCCUACGGGAGGCAGCAGUGGGGAAUAUUGCACAAUGGGCGCAAGCCUGAUGCAGCGACGCCGCGUGGGGGAUGACGGCCUUCGGGUUGUAAACUCCUUUCGGCCAUGACGAAGCCCUUGUGGUGACGGUAGUGGUAGAAGAAGCACCGGCUAACUACGUG
rnacentral:rRNA from 1 species